AGGACUUCUAUACUGCUCGUAUCGCCAUGUAAAUAAGUUGUAAUUUGCUUCAUACUAUAUUUUUGGACCUUCCAAUUCACGCCCUCUGGGGCAUGACAAUAAAUGUUGAAACAACCUUGGGGCUCAUCCUUAGUUUUUUCCUUUAGUGUCUCAACAGUUAAGUCUUCCAAUUUUGUCUGCCAGUUUUCCGGCGUGAAGCCGCGAGUUUUACCCGCUCUGAAAGCGACGACUAGGGCGAUUGUCAAGCUCAAUCCAAGCGUUGAUAGGUGAUUUGUUAAUAAAGAUUCCAUUCCCAUAGAAAAUACCGUAAGAUUUUUAAGCUCUGCUCCCGCCCCGAAAAGAGAAAG
rnacentral:lncRNA from 1 species